rnacentral:rRNA from 1 species
CCCUUAGACGUUCUGGGCCGCACGCGCGCUACACUGACCAGUGCAACAAGCAUCCGUCCUUGGCCGACAGGCUCGGGCAAUCUUUGAACGCUGGUCGUGAUGGGGAUAGACUUUUGCAAUUUUUGGUCUUCAACGAGGAAUUCCUAGUAAACGCAAGUCAUCAACUUGCAUUGAUUACGUCCCUGCCCUUUGUACACACCGCCCGUCGCACCUACCGAUUGAAUGGUCCGGUGAAGCCUCCGGAUUGGCGCGCACCUCGGUGCCGCCGAGAAGUUGGCUAAACCUUACUAUUUAGAGGAAGGUGAAGUCGUAACA